rnacentral:tRNA from 1 species
GGGGCCAUGGCUUAGUGGUAGAGCUUCUGCUUGGCAGGAAGAAGGUCCCAGAUUCAAUCCCCAGCAUCUCCA